CCUGAACCUUCCACUUCGUGGAGGUCAAGUGGUGAUAAAAAAAGAGAGUUGUGUUAUUGUUUUCAAGGGAUUCUGUGUGUCUCUCUGUCUGAUGCUGGGCUUGCCCAAGGCGUCCCACUUCAGGACCUCUCUCUCAGCCUCUGGUUUCAAGCUCUCUGAGUAACACCAGUACGACUGCCAGCAGUUCAGGAAUCAAGGAAAGAAUAAACUAAAUUUUUUUUUGUGA